rnacentral:rRNA from 1 species
GAUGAACGCUGGCGGCGUGCUUAACACAUGCAAGUCGAACGGUGAACGAGGGAGCUUGCUCCCUCCGGAUCAGUGGCGAACGGGUGAGUAACACGUGAGCAAUCUGCCCUGGACUCUGGGAUAAGCGUUGGAAACGACGUCUAAUACCGGAUACGAGGCGUGGGGGCAUCCCCAACGCCUGGAAAGAACUUCGGUCCAGGAUGAGCUCGCGGCCUCUCAGCUAGUUGGUGAGGUAACGGCUCACCAAGGCGACGACGGGUAGCCGGCCUGAGAGGGUGACAGGCCACACUGGGACUGAGACACGGCCCAGACUCCUACGGGAUGCAGCAGUGGGGAAUAUUGCACAAUGGGCGCAAGCCUGAUGCAGCAACGCCGCGUGAGGGACGACGGCCUUCGGGUUGUAAACCUCUUUUAGCAGGGAAGAAGCGAAAGUGACGGUACCUGCAGAAAAAGCACCGGCUAACUACGUGCCAGCAGCCGCAGUAAUAC